GACGAACGCUGGCGGCGUGCCUAAUACAUGCAAGUAGGACGCAGUUGCGAACGGGUGAGUAACGCGUAGGUAACUCCCUAUUCGAGGGGGAUAACUAUUGGAAACGCUAGCUAAUACCGCCUACUAGUAGAUGGACCUGCGUUGUAUUAGCUAGUAGGUAGGGUAAGGGCCUACCUAGGCAACGAUACAUAGCCGACGUGAGAGGAGGAGCGGCCACACUGGGAAUGAGAAAGGGCCGAGACGCCUAAGGUAGGCAGCAGGAGGGAAGCUUCGGAAAUGGAGCAAACCCUGACCGAGCAACGCCGCGUGAGUGAAGAAGGUUUUCGGAUUGUAAAGCUCUGUUGUUAAGGAAGCGGUACUUAACCAGAAAGGGACGGCUAACUACGUGCCAGCAGCCGCGGUAAUUC
rnacentral:rRNA from 1 species